rnacentral:rRNA from 1 species
AACGAACGCUGGCGGCAGGCCUAACACAUGCAAGUCGAGCGAGGACUUCGGUCCUAGCGGCGGACGGGUGAGUAACGCGUGGGAACGUGCCCUUUGCUUCGGAAUAGCCCUGGGAAACUGGGAGUAAUACCGGAUGAGCCCUUUGGGGGAAAGAUUUAUCGGCGAAGGAUCGGCCCGCGUUGGAUUAGGUAGUUGGUGGGGUAAUGGCCUACCAAGCCGACGAUCCAUAGCUGGUUUGAGAGGAUGAUCAGCCACACUGGGACUGAGACACGGCCCAGACUCCUACGGAAGGCAGCAGUGGGGAAUCUUAGACAAUGGGGGAAACCCUGAUCUAGCCAUGCCGCGUGAGCGAUGAAGGCCUUAGGGUUGUAAAGCUCUUUCAGCUGGGAAGAUAAUGACGGUACCAGCAGAAGAAGCCCCGGCUAACUCCGUG